rnacentral:hammerhead_ribozyme from 1 species
AUCCAGUUGACGAGUCCCAAAUAGGACGGAGCGCGCGUCAAACUGGAU